AACGAACGCUGGCGGCAUGCCUAACACAUGCAAGUCGAACGAGACCUUCGGGUCUAGUGGCGCACGGGUGCGUAACGCGUGGGAACCUGCCCUUAGGCUCGGAAUAACUCCCCGAAAGGGGUGCUAAUACCGGAUAAUGUCUUCGGACCAAAGAUUUAUCGUCUUUGGAUGGGCCCGCGUUGUAUUAGCUAGUUGGUAGGGUAAAAGCCUACCAAGGCGACGAUCCAUAGCUGGUCUGAGAGGAUGAUCAGCCACACUGGGACUGAGACACGGCCCAGACUCCUACGGGAGGCAGCAGUGGGGAAUAUAGGACAAUGGGCGAAAGCCUGAUCCAGCAAGGCCGCGUGAGUGAUGAAGGCCUGAGAGUUGUAAAGCUCUUUUACCCGGGAUGAUAAUGACAGUACCGGGAGAAUAAGCUCCGGCUAACUCCGUG
rnacentral:rRNA from 1 species